rnacentral:rRNA from 1 species
CAGUCGCCACGGUAAUACGAAGGGGGCUAGCGUUGUUCGGAAUUACUGGGCGUAAAGCGCACGUAGGCGGAUAUUUAAGUCAGGGGUGAAAUCCCAGAGCUCAACUCUGGAAUUGCCUUUGAUACUGGGUAUCUUGAGUAUGGAAGAGGUGAGUGGAACUCCGAGUGUAGAGGUGAAAUUCGUAGAUAUUCGGAGGAACACCAGUGGCGAAGGCGGCUCACUGGUCCAUUACUGACGCUGAGGUGCGAAAGCGUGGGGAGCAAACAGGAUUAGAUACCCCAGUAGUCCCUGUCUCUUAUAC